rnacentral:rRNA from 1 species
ACUAUGGAGAGUUUGAUCCUGGCUCAGGAUGAACGCUAGCGGGAGGCCUAAUACAUGCAAGUCGAACGGUAGAUCGGGUAGCAAUACUUGAUUGAGAGUGACGUAAGGGUGCGUAACACGUAUGCAAUCUACCCUCAACAGGAGUAUAGCUCGGGGAAACUCGGAUUAACACUCCAUAACAUUACGAUGUGGCAUCACAUUGUGAUUAAAACUCCGGUGGUUGAGGAUGAGCAUGCGUCUGAUUAGUUAGUUGGAGGUGUAACGGACCCCCAAGACGAUGAUCAGUAGGGGAACUGAGAGGUUGAUCCCCCACACUGGCACUGAGAUACGGGCCAGACUCCUACGGGAGGCAGCAGUAGGGAAUAUUGGUCAAUGGGUGAGAGCCUGAACCAGCCAUGCCGCGUGCAGGAAGACGGCCUUCUGGGUUGUAAACUGCUUUUAUCUGGGGAUAAAAAGCCCAUGCGUGGGACAUUGAAGGUACCAGAUGAAUAAGCACCGGCUAACUACGUGCCAGCAGCCGCGGUAAUACGUAGGGGCCGAGCGUUGUCCGGAGUUACUGGGCGUAAAGCGCGCGCAGGCGGCUCGUCAAGCCUGACGUGAAAGCCCCCGGCUCAACCGGGGAGGGUCGUCGGGGACUGGCGGGCUUGAGGUCGGCAGGGGUUGGUGGAAUUCCCGGUGUAGUGGUGAAAUGCGUAGAGAUCGGGAGGAACACCCGUGGCGAAGGCGGCCAACUGGGCCGGACCUGACGCUGAGGCGCGAAGGCGUGGGGAGCGAACGGGAUUAGAGACCCCGGUAGUCCACGCGGUAAACGAUGCCGACUGGACGUGCACCACUACGGUGGGGCGUGUCGAAGCUAACGCGGGAAGUCGGCCGCCUGGGAAGU